UACGUAGGGUGCAAGCGUUGUCCGGAAUUAUUGGGCGUAAAGAGCUCGUAGGCGGUUUGUCGCGUCGAAUGUGAAAACCCGGGGCUCAACCCCGGGCCUGCAUUCGAUACGGGCAGACUAGAGUUCGGUAGGGGAGUCUGGAAUUCCUGGUGUAGCGGUGAAAUGCGCAGAUAUCAGGAGGAACACCGGUGGCGAAGGCGGAUCUCUGGGCCUUGCCUGACGCUGAGGCGCGAAAGCUAGGGGAGCGAACAGG
rnacentral:rRNA from 1 species